rnacentral:lncRNA from 10 species
UGAGACCCCAUCUCAAAAAAAAAAAAAAAAAAGAUAAUCUGGGAGAUCUGUCCUAUCGUAGUUCUCAUAGUAUCCAUCACUGACCUUAUUUUACUGAUCAUCUUGCUUUAUUAUUAGUUAUAUUCCCUUUUAACCAAAAGCUCUAUGAAGGGCAGAGUCCAUGUUUGUGUUUGCUGUUACGUCUUCAGUAUCCAGAACAGUGUUCGUUACUUAACACCUAUUCAGUAGAUAUUGGUCGAAAGAAUUAAUGGUACUUUUACAUUUUUUUCAUUGUGUGGGAAUAAUGAUUAACUUCUACAGUUACAAAUAAGUUGCUACUAUAACCAUAUGUCCUUGGGGAAUGUUAAUUUUUUUAAGCUCAAUAGAAAAUAUUCUUGGCAUUUUUCUUGCUGAAUACUAGGGAUUUUAAUAAAAUGUUUAUAUUUCCACAGCACAACCAGUGUCUCUGAAGAAGAUGUCUCAAGUAGAUAUUCUCGAACAGAUAGAAGUGGGUUCCCUAGAUAUAACAGGGAUGCAAAUGUUUCAGGUACUCUGGUUUCAAGUAGCACACUGGAAAAGAAAAUUGAAGAUCUUGAAAAGGAAGUAGUAAGAGAAAGACAAGAAAACCUAAGACUUGUGAGACUGAUGCAAGAUAAAGAGGAAAUGAUUGGAAAACUCAAAGAAGAAAUUGAUUUAUUAAAUAGAGACCUAGAUGACAUAGAAGAUGAAAAUGAACAGCUAAAGCAGGAAAAUAAAACUCUUUUGAAAGUUGUGGGUCAGCUGACCAGGUAGAGGAUUCAAGACUCAAUGUGGAAAAAAUAUUUUAAACUACUGAUUGAAUGUUAAUGGUCAAUGCUAGCACAAUAUUCCUAUGCUGCAAUACA